AUUUUCUUGUUUUUUAUACAGCUGGCUGUGACCUGUUCUCUCCGUCGUCAUCGAAGCUUUAGUAUAAAACGAGGCGUUUAUGGAACACAGACAUCAGUUCAACCUGAAAAUUGUUACAAUGAAAUUCUUCGCCUUCUUCACGUUGUUCGUGUGCGCCAUCUUGGCUCUGGCCAGCGGUGAGCGGGUGUACUACAGACAGGUGCGCAGCCCAGUGCCUGUCCAGGACGCAGCGCCAGCACCAGGCCACCACCACCACCAUCACCACUACGGAUACGGCUACGGAUACCACUGAUAUGGAAGUGAUUGGCUAUUGAUUGAUUAAAAGUUUUGUUAAGUUUACGAUUGGGUUAUUGUUUAGUAUGAGGUAUAAUAAUAAAAUAUUUUGUAGUUAA